GGAAUCAGUCUUGAACCAGACGCUUUCUCCGGCUCUUCUUGGCAGCGCGGCGGAUAAACAACAACAACAACCCGGUGUCUGCGUGCCACUGCGAGGGACGACGAGGUCGAGAUGGACCGCGAUAAGCGAACAUUGUGUGGGCAGAUGCUAGAUCCUGCUGGAAAAUGAAACCAACAUCUCCAUAAAGCUUGUCAGUAGAAGAAAAACUGACUUUGGGCCACUUAUCCCAGGAAAUAUGAAGCAAGCAGGAGGAAUGUCACUUUGGAAAAGCGUGACGAAACCGAGAUGACGGACUCCGAGCAGGACUCGCCGAUCCCAUUCUGAGGAUGCAGAGACAAUGUGAAGCUUUAAUCAGCGAGCCAAGGAAUCUGGAUCAGCGCUAUGCAAAACAUACCGAAAUAAAUGCAACCAAACAUGUUGCAAAAACACAACCCCCCUUUCUUUGCUAAUUGUAAUGCUUCCUAUAAAAAAGUUUUACAUAAUGACAAAAUGAGCUACAGCCCCUGAGCAUGCAGCCAGGGUGGCAUGUCUGUAACUGACAGCAGAGGUGGUGGUGUGGGUAUCGUUUGUAUAUUUUGAGCCCAGGAAUGCAGCAAUCAUUAUUAACUUGCCAAGCGCCAAGUAAUAUUUUUUCCUUCUUCACAAACUAGCUGCAACAUGUCAUGGAUGAGGUUUG